AGUCGGCGGGGGUCAUUCGCCCGCGACCUUCCGUGGAGGCCUAGCGACGACGACGGCGCGGCCGACGGGCGACGGCGCCUUAGUUUCCGACCACCACCGCCGCCGCCGCCGUGGGAGUUGGAGGAAAACCUAUUAGCAAGCAUUAAUCGGAUACCAAGAUGCUGGGCUCCGGAUUCAUCGAGUUCGAACUGGAAUAUUCAAAAACCACGAACCUUUCAGUCGGCGACGUCGUCCACUCCGAUGAGAUCUUUGCCGGAGGGCACGUCUGGAAGAUAUACUGCUACCCAUAUGGCACCAAGAAGACCAGCACAGGCAGAUACGUCUCUCUGUACCUACGGCUCGUCAGCAAAGCCAAAUUUGUCAAGGCCAUCUUUGAGGCUUCCCUGCUACGCAGGGGCGGUCCUGGGCGUGCAAAAAGAUGCACCAAGGUGUACCCACCUAAUGGCAUCAGCUCUAGGAGCAGGGGAUGGCAUGAGUUUGUAAGCCGAAGCGAUCUGGAGUCUGGUUCCGUCCGGAAAGGAUGCGUUACAUUCUUAUGUGGGAUCACGGUUCUGUGUGACAGCUCCAUUGCUGUGCCAUCCUCGGACAUAGAGAGCCAUCUUGGCGGUCUGCUGGAUCGCUCCGAGGGGACGGAUGUUUCAUUCUGCGUGAAAGGCAAGACGUUUCACGCGCACCGGGCAAUUCUCGCCGCGCGGUCACCGGUCUUCAAGGCGGAGCUCUUCGGCCCCAUGGCCGAGGCUACAAUGGCGUGUGCCACGCUGCACGAAAUUGAACCUUUGGUGUUUAAAACCCUGCUUCGGUUCGUGUACACUGAUUCCCUGCCUGUAGACAGAGAGCUUGGGGACUCUGUCACUGAUAUGGGAAAACAUCUUCUUGCUGCAGCUGAUCGGUAUGCAUUGGACCGGUUGAAGCUUGCAUGUGCUCAGAAGUUGUGGGAAGGCGUGUCGGUCGAUACGGUUGCGGAUGCUUUAGCUUGCGCUGAGAUAUACAAUUGCCAAGAGUUGAAGAGCAGGUGCAUUGACUUUGUUAUGGCAAAAGAUAAUUUCAAGAAGACUGUGUUGACUGAAAGUUUCAUUAGCUUGUUGCAUAAAUUCCCCUCUAUUCGUGCUGAGCUGAGAGCGAAGGUUGGGAGUUGAGACAUAGGUUAGUGGGAUGCAUCUCCACUUAUGUUUCAGGCGUCAAGGAUUGCUUUGCACUGGAUUAGACGGAAAAAAAUCGUUGCCAAGUGAUACUGGCAAGUAAGGGGACAUGGAGGAAAUCGUGGUACAGUUCAGAUACAGAGCUAUGGAUGUGCACUGUCCUGAAGCUUUGUAUGCUACUUUCGGUUCUGCACCAUUUUAUCCUGGAUGUGCACACUGUCCUGAAGCUUGUUUUUGGAUGUCCAUUUCGGCUUUUCUGAUAAUGUAACUAUGCGUUGUCUUAACUCCAUGGCCCCUCAAAAAAAACUCCAUGGUCCCUUAUAAACUAUCUCAAACUUCUAUAAGUUUGGUUUUGCAAUGAAAAAGCCUCUGGGUGC